rnacentral:SRP_RNA from 1 species
GCCGAGCUCAGCAGCGUGAGCUUGUAACCCAAGCGGGGGCAUUAGGGUGGUGUGGACGUGGCCGUAUGGUUGCUGGCCUGGGUCUGCAGUGCAAUUGGUGGCCCGCCCGUUCCAAGUUGCGUAGUUGGGCCGGCGGGGCUUAAGCGAAAGCUUUAAGGGUCCCACGGUUCCUAGAGUGGCAGGCAUUGCGUGAGGCUGGUUUCACAGAGCAGCGAAUACUGCCCGCUUCCAACGGUGGAAGGAUAACGGGCCGCUGCACUGUUGGCCCGGUUGGGCCUCGCAGCCUACUUCAACGAACCACCACUUUU